AUGUUCCUUCUUCUGGUGCUUCUCACUGGACUUGGUGGGAUGCAUGCAGACCUCAAUCCUCAUAAAAUCUUCCUGCAGACCACAAUUCCAGAGAAGAUUUCAUCAUCGGAUGCAAAAACAGAUCCAGAACAUAAUGUUAUUUACAUGAUUACCAUAGGGAAAGCCAUAUUUUGUCCAUCUCAAAAAGCAAUCAAUUUUAUCUUCAGCUUCUGUUAUUAAUUCUUAUGACGAAAAUGACAUCCGUCAUUCCAAACCUCUGCUAGUUCAGAUGGAUUGCAAUUAUAAUGGAUAUGUUGCGGGUAUUCCAAAUUCUCUUGUGACUCUCAGCGUAUGUUCAGGACUCAGGGGAACAAUGCAGCUGAAAAACAUCUCAUAUGGAAUUGAACCGAUGGAGGCUGUAUCAGGAUUUAUACACAAGAUUUAUGAAGAAAAAUAUGCUGACACUAAUAUUCUCUUAGAAGAAAAUGACACUUAUACUUGGUUUAAUUCAGAGUAUCAAGUCAGAAAAAGUUCAGAAGUACUCUGGUGGUGUAAAGGAUUUUAACAUCUGUAGCUUGGAUGACUUUAAAUAUAUUUCUUCUCAUAAUGGCCUUACAUGUCUUCAGACAAACCCUCUUGAAAUGCCAACCUACACACACAGGAGAAUAUGUGGCAAUGGGUUGUUGGAAGGAAGUGAAGAAUGUGACUGUGGCACUAAAGACUUCAAACCGGCUAAUAUGAUUUGUAGGAAAUCAGUUGGUAAAGAAUGCGAUUUCACUGAAUAUUGCAAUGGGGACCUUCCAUACUGUUUGCCUGACACUUAUGUACGUGAUGGAGAAUAUUGUGAUUCAGGUGGAGCCUUCUGUUUUCAAGGAAAGUGUCGGACUUUUGACAAACAAUGUGAUGAUUUAAUUGGAAGAGGUUCAAGAGGUGCUCCGGUUUUCUGUUAUGAUGAAAUUAAUACCAGAGGAGACAAUUUUGGAAACUGUGGCACUGCACACUGUCUUUUUCAACAUAUUCUAUGUGGAAAAUUAGUCUGUACAUGGGAACACAGAGACUUAAUAUCACGUCCAAAUUUAUCUGUGAUUUAUGCACAUGUACGAGACCAAACAUGUGUGUCUACAUACCUACCCAGGAGGACGCCACCUCCAGUAAAUUCACCUAUUUCAAUCACAUCAUAUUAUUCAGCUGAAGACAGAGAUGAAACAUUUGUACAAGAUGGUUCCAUGUGUGGUCCUGAUAUGUAUUGUUUCGAAAUGCAUUGUAAACAUGUUAGAUUCCUGAUGAAUUUAAAAUUGUGUGAUGCUUCUAAUCAUUGUGAUCGUCAUGGAGUUUGCAACAAUUUUAACCAUUGCCAUUGUGAAAAGGGAUAUAAUCCUCCUUACUGCCAACCAAAGCAAGGAGCAUUUGGAAGUAUUGAUGAUGGACACUUAGUACCACCAACUGAGAGAAGUUACAUGGAGGAGGGAAGAUAGGCCACUUUUCAAAAACAACGGUUUCAACUCAUUUUCUACAUUUCUCUACCUGUGCUUCUUAUUACUACUGCCAUUUUAAUAAAACAGAAAAAAUUGAGAGAGCUAUGCUAUAGAGGGGAAAAUGAAAGUGAGAGCUCUGUGUCAGAAGAAAGCAGCAGUAACAGCAAGUCAUCCCUCAGUGAAAGCACCAGUCUCUAA
rnacentral:lncRNA from 1 species